rnacentral:rRNA from 1 species
UACGUAGGGGGCAAGCGUUGUCCGGAAUCAUUGGGCGUAAAGAGCGCGUAGGCGGUCCGGUAAGUCCGCUCUGAAAGCCCGGGGCUCAACCCCGGGAGGCGGGCGGAUACUGUCGGGCUAGAGUCCGGAAGAGGCGAGUGGAAUUCCUGGUGUAGCGGUGAAAUGCGCAGAUAUCAGGAGGAACACCGAUGGCGAAGGCAGCUCGCUGGGACGGUACUGGACGCUGAGGCGCGAAAGCGUGGGGAGCAAACAGG